GCGCGGUGAAUACGGCGCCGCCGGCGGAGCUAGCGCGGCCCGCGGAGAGGCAGCGGGGUCGGACACCCGUUAAUGUCUCCGAACGGAGCCUCCGUGUCCUGCCCCGGUGGAGGCGGAUUUUCACCUUCCCCCCCCCUCCGGUCGCUCCCUCCUCCUUCUCCGCGUUCCCCCCAGAGGCCAGGAAAGAAACUUCCCCGAAAGUUACCACAGGCCGCAGGACGACAACAUGGCCGCCGCGCCGGGGGCCUCCAUGCUGAGGGGAGCUCGGCCUCGCCGCCGAGAGCUGGCCGGCCACGCUGCCGCUGUGCUGUACCUGUUGGAAGGGGCCGCCGAUCCCCCUGUGCCUCAGCCCCUUUGUCCGCCCCGGCCCUGCAGCGGCUGGGCAGGGGUGUUCUGGACCAGGCUGGGCUUUGAGAGCCCUUUGGUCUGUCAGAGGCGAGUGAGAUCCUCCCUGGAGCUGGGCCUAGAGGCUGAGGAAUGUCCUGCAGAGAUGGAAACCCUGUUCCUGAUGGAGAAGAUCUGUAGCACCUGAUGCAUGUUUUCCUUGAUCACCUGCCUGGCCUGAAGCAGAUCAAGUUCUCACACGGUGUGUGCUGCUGGACAGGUCUCAAACGUGUGAUGGGUGCCUGUACGGUAACAGUUCUCUCUCUUCAAAAACAGAGGAUGCGAGUAGAGAAAGACAAGUCAAAAGAGUGUCAAAAGUCAUGUGUGUGGGUGAAGUGUUACUAGUUCAUGGCCUUGCAUGAAGCACUGCAUGGAGUCCGGUCCCCAAAACUGCCUAGAGCUGUGCCCGGCAGCAGGGUCAGAGGGAUGUGCCUUUAGUGCAAGGUCACACAGUGACAAAAACUGCAAAUGCCAUACUGGGAUGUGUAAAUAAUACAGUGCUUAAACCAAGAAUAACUUGCAGGGAGCUACAGGCAGGAUUUGUCUAUGCAAAAGCAGAUGCUUACAUUGGAGUAAGUUGUCUGGACUCUCUCUUGUCCACAGAGAAAAGCAGGCAUCUUUGGGGUCUGGUGCACUCCAUUCUAGGACAGGUGUUCAAUCUGGCAUUAUAAACCAGAAAAUAUAUUUCCUCACCUAUCACAGAGGAGACUAACAGGUUCAGUGACUUCUCAACACAGAAAUAAUUGGAAGUCUGCCUUAUAACACAGGUUUCACUCCAUCAGCUCUAACUGAAGAGAGAUGAAGACAAGGGAGGCUCAGUGGCAGAAACCACAACUGCAGUGGGAAAUGCCCAAUGUCUCCAUAUAGACCACAGAGCUGUUAUGUCUGAGGCUGAAGGGUCAGACAUUGUUAGCAACUUUUUAUGGAGCAGCUGGUCAGGGAAGCCAUGAAAGGAGAAGCAAUUCUUGACUGAAGGCAGAGAACAGGACCUGACUACUCAGUCUCUGAAUCAGUGACCAUUACAUAUUUAAGAGUCACCGAGCUGAUCAGAGCAACAAAAGCUAAAGAAAUCUCCUGUUCUUAAUUUUGGAAAGGGGAACUCUGUAACGGCGAGAAGGCCUCUUGCAAAAAGGUAAAAGGGGUAGCUAAAAGGGUAAGAGGGCUUUAUGCAGUAUAGAGCCAACUGAAAGACAUCACAUUGCAAGCUCUGACCAAAUGCAUAUCCUCUGUCAAAGUAUGUAGGAAGAUCAAGGUUGGCUAAAAAAAACAAGCUAAAAAAAUCAAACAGGGCUAAAAGACAGGACAAGGGAGGCUGUCAGAAGCAAAAUGUUAUUCUGCAAAAAAGCUGGACUUGGGUUCUGAUGAGGAAAGCAGGAAGUUUGUAAGUGGAAUGUAAAGCUACUUGUGUAAAAACAGUUUAACACACAACUUUAAAACAGGUUUAAAAGCAUAAGAAGUAAUUUUUCAGUCUUGUCAGCAGGAAGCCUGAAGGACGACUUCUAGAACUGGUCUGCUAUCGAGGUGUAAAACGAAUAUACAGAAGACAGUACUGGAGCAGAAAACCCAAAUGACUUCUUUGCUUCUGCAUUGAUUGUGGAGGAGGCUGGGUAUGUUCCUGGACAGGAACUCACAAACUUGCCUGAGGAUUGUCUUGAAGCAUCAGUAAGGGUCACAAUAAAUCAACAAAGCAAUUAAGGAACUCCCAAGACCUCUGUGACGGUGAAUGCACGGGCUAUCUCCAGGUAUGUAAAAACUUCAAACAGUGGCAUGGUAUUUACCAUAUACUGAUUUGCAGCUCCAUUUCCCCUUCUCUCACCUUGCUCUGAGCUCACCGCAAGCAGGAACUGCAGAUGUCUUGCUGGUCAGUGUGAUGAAGGCAGGAUUUAAUGUUCAGACUACAGAACACUAAACACUGGGCUGGAGCCUAGUCCUGAGUCCUGAGGUCUCCAGCCCACGUCCUGAGUGGGAGCCAAGGAGCCAGGGAAACAUAUGGGCAGACUUCUGGAUUGUGCCUUCUGCCUUUCAGGGCAGCAACCCUCUG